rnacentral:rRNA from 1 species
ACACGACUACAUUAGAUACCCCUGUAGUCCUAGCCGUAAACGAUACUCGCUAGGUGUCGGCCACGGUGCGACCGUUGUCGGUGCCGUAGGGAAGCCGUGAAGCGAGCCACCUGGGAAGUACGGCCGCAAGGCUGAAACUUAAAGGAAUUGGCGGGGAGCACCACAACGGGUGGAGCUUGCGGUUUAAUUGGACUCAACGCCGGGAAGCUCACCGGAUAAGACAGCGGAAUGAUUGCCGGGCUGAAGACUCUGCAUGACUAGCUG